AGCCUGCCAAGUACUCUGCCUUUGUACUUCCCCGUGCAGACCCCAUGAAAACCACCCUCCUCAAGCCUUUAGGGCCUGAUAUGUGGGGAAUGAGCCCAAUCAGUGCCCACUGACAUAAUUAAUCUGUCUCCAAAGACUGGGUGUCAUUUCAGUGUUAUUGCUUGUCCUUGCUUCUGGUGCAUCGGCCAGGAACACCAACUGUGCUGAUCUCCUUCAUCACCAAUUGUAGCCCUUAUGGAUGGAGCAAAGACAUCUACAGGUUCUUACAGUAGGGAGAAACUGCCAAAAUACACCUCUCCUGCCUGUAA
rnacentral:lncRNA from 1 species